rnacentral:pre_miRNA from 1 species
UGUAAGUAUAAUCAUAAAUUUUCGUGUCCAGCUUUAUUUGAAAGUUUGUUAUGAUUAGUAUUUUAUCGUUAUUAGAUGAUAAAAUAUAAAUAGUACUUUAUAAACAACUCAUAUUUUUUAACUUUUCAAAAAAAAAUAUUUUAAAUAAGACGGACGAUCAAAAUUGUACACGAAAAAUCAUGGCUGUAUUUUAA